rnacentral:misc_RNA from 1 species
AAGUCGUAACAAGGUUUCCGUAGGUGAACCUGCGGAAGGAUCAUUUCCAAAAAAAAACAAACAAUAUAAACCAACCUUUGUGAAGAGUUUUAUAUUCUUUUUUUUACUUUGGGUGUGGGGAAAAAGUGUGCUUUGGAUGUUGAAGAAAAUGCGAAACACCUUUAUCGUAGGCGUUUAACAUCAAAAUCACAUCAGAAAGUACAUGUACAUAACCCCGCCCAAAGGCCAUGAUGAACUACCUCUUUGAGGUUGAUGUCCUAUUUAUAUUUUUCAAUCAUACGAAAGUAUAUAACAAAUGACAUGACAACUUUUAACGGUGGAUCUCUUGGCUCGU